rnacentral:rRNA from 1 species
UAGCGGCAGGCCUAACACAUGCAAGUCGCGGGGCAGCACGGGUAGCAAUACCUGGUGGCGACCGGCGCACGGGUGCGUAACGCGUAUGCAACCUGCCCCCAUCAGGGGAAUAGCCCGCCGAAAGGCGGAUUAAUGCCCCAUAGGCCCAGGGCGCCGCAUGGCGCUAUGGGUAAAGCUCCGGCGGAUGGGGAUGGGCAUGCGUGCCAUUAGCUAGUUGGGGCGGUAACGGCGCACCAAGGCGACGAUGGCUAGGGGGUCUGAGAGGAUGGUCCCCCACACUGGUACUGAGACACGGACCAGACUCCUACGGGAGGCAGCAGUGAGGAAUAUUGGUCAAUGGGCGGAAGCCUGAACCAGCCCAUGCCGCGUGCAGGAUGACGGCCCUACGGGUUGUAAACUGCUUUUCCCCGGGAAGAAUAAGCCCCCCGUGAGGGGUGAUGCCGGUACCGGGGGAAUAAGGAUCGGCUAACUCCGUGCCAGCCGCCGC